UGACCACGAGACCGAUAGCAAACAAGUACCGUGAGGGAACGUUGAAAAAAACUUUGAAGAGAAAGUUCAAGAGUACGUGAAACCGUUCAGGGGUAAACCUGAGAAACCCAAAAGAUCGAAAGGAGAGAUUCAAUGUUAUCGUUUUAAUCCAUUUAUUGGCGUGCGAUUGACCGAGAUUCGUCCUGCGAUACGCCGUCGGUUUAUGCGUUAGGCGGCGAUGACAUGCACUUCUCUCUCAGUAGGACGUCGCGACCCGUUUGGUGUCUACCUACGACUGCGGCGGUAGUCUGUCACGAAUUUAUUCGCGUCACACCCCGCGUUCUCCGGUCGACUGCCAGACGGUAUAAACGAUAUGGUAUAGGGUCGCUUUUAAGCGUUUGGCCGGUUGCAAGCACAGACGGUUAUUGGCCGUCGAACCUGGUCCGGCAUCGAUGCCGCCUCGAACUGUUAGCUACCGUGUUCUCGGACGGACUCUGUUACCGGUCAGCGAUGCUAUUAACUUGGGUACUUUUAGGACCCUUCUUGAAACACGGACCAAGGAGUCUAGCAUGUGCGCGAGUCAUUAGAAAAUACAAAACCUAAAGGCGCAAUGAACGUAAAGUUUUGCUUAAGUGAACUGAGGGAUGACGGACCGCUUCAAUGGAUGCGUGCUUGCAAACCCGGGGCGUCUCACUCCCAUUGCGAAAGGUGAUGAACUAUGCCCGUUCAGGUCGAAGUCAGGUGAAACCCUAAUAGAGGACCGUAUCGAUUCUGACGUGCAAAUCGAGCGUCGGAACUGGGUAUAGGGGCGAAAGACUAAUAAAAGGUAGCCGAUUUCAUCCGAAGUUUCCCUCAGGAUAGCUGGCAUUCGAUGAGCGAGUCUCAUCCGUAAAGCAAAUGAUUCGAGGCCUUGGAGCCGAAACGACCUCAACCUAUUCUCAAAUUUUAAAUGGGUGAGAUAUCUGGCUUGCUUGAAUAGUGAAGCCAAAGAUUUAGAUAAGUGGGCCACUUUUGGUAAGCAGAACUGGCGCUGUGGGAUGAAUCAAACACCAAGUUAAGGCGCCUAAACGACGCUAAUGGGAUACCAUGAAAGGCGUUGGUUGCUUAAGACAGCAGGACGGUUGCCAUGGAAGUUGGAAUCCGCUAAGGAGUGUGUAACAACUCACCUGCCGAUGCAACUAGCCCUGAAAAUGGAUGACGCUGAAGCGUCGUGCCUAUACUCGGCCACCAGAACAUGAGGAGCGCUCAUUACUGUUCGUUUUGACGCCCUGGUCAGUAGGAGGGUCACGGUGGUGUGCGCAGAAGGGUUUGGGCGUAACCUUGCCUGGAGCCGCCAUCUGUGCAGAUCUCGGUGGUAGUAGCAAAUACUCCAGCGAGGCCCUGGAGGACUAACGUGGAGAAGGGUUUUGUGUGAACAGCCGUUGCACACGAGUCAGUCGAUCCUAAGACCCGGAAAAAAUCCUAUGUUGAUGUUGGUGUAUUUUAUUUUAAAUAAAAUCUUACACCCAUCGGGCGAAAGGGAAUCCGGUUCCUAUUUCGGAACCCGGCAGCGUAACCGUUUACAAGUCGGGGCCUCGAAGAGAGUUUGUCGGGGUAACCCAAAAUGAUCUGGAGAUACCGUCGGGAAAUACGGGGAGAGUUUUCUUUUCUGUAUGAGCGUUUGAGUUCCCUGGAAUCCUCUAGUAGGGAGAUAGGGUUUGGAACGCGAAGAACACCGCAGUUGUGGUGAUCAUGAGCUGAAUAUGAGACGAUACAUAUUAGAUUUACAUGAAUUUUCCAUAUUGCUAAAUGUGGGAUAAAUAUAAGCUAUAUAUGAUAUGUUUUACAUAUGAUUUUUCUAUAUUGCUGAAUGUGGGCGAUAUAUGAAACGCUGAAUAUGAGUUUUACAUGGUUUAUUCAUAUUGCUAAAUAUAAGCUGUGUAUGAGAGUACUAAUAUUGUAGGAUUUAGAAUAUAGAAUUAUUUACAUAAAAAUCAUUUAAGAUUUUGCUAAUAAAGAACGAAUGUGGAAUAUGUUUUUUCUUGU
rnacentral:rRNA from 1 species